UGGGGAAUAUUGGACAAUGGGGGCAACCCUGAUCCAGCAAUGCCGCGUGUGUGAAGAAGGCCUUCGGGUUGUAAAGCACUUUAGUUGGGGAAGAAGGUUAGCAGUUUAAGAGAUGGCUAACUUGACGGUACCCAAAGAAUAAGCACCGGCUAACUCUGUGCCAGCAGCCGCGGUAAUACAGAGGGUGCAAGCGUUAAUCGGAAUUACUGGGCGUAAAGGGCGUGUAGGUGGUUGGAUAAGUUGGUUGUGAAAUCCCUGGGCUUAACCUAGGAAUGGCAAUCAAUACUGUUUAACUAGAGUACGGUAGAGGGUAGUGGAAUUUCCGGUGUAGCGGUGAAAUGCGUAGAGAUCGGAAGGAACACCAGUGGCGAAGGCGGCUACCUGGACUGAUACUGACACUGAGGCGCGAGAGCGUGGGGAGCAAACAGG
rnacentral:rRNA from 1 species